CCUACGGGAGGCAGCAGUGAGGAAUAUUGGUCAAUGGACGAGAGUCUGAACCAGCCAAGUAGCGUGAAGGAUGACUGCCCUAUGGGUUGUAAACUUCUUUUAUAUGGGAAUAAAAUGUUCCACGUGUGUGAUUUUGUAUGUACCAUAUGAAUAAGGAUCGGCUAACUUCGUGCCAGCAGCCGCGGUAAUACGGAGGAUCCGAGCGUUAUCCGGAUGUAUUGGGUUUAAAGGGAGCGUAGUGGGGUGGUUAAGUCAGUUGUGAAAGUUUGCGGCUCAACCGUAAAAUUGCAGUUGAAACUGGAAGUCUGGAGUACAGUAGAGGUGGGCGGAAUUCGUGGUGUAGCGGUGAAAUGCUUAGAUAGCACGAAGAACUCCGAUUGCGAAGGCAGCUGACUGGACUGCAACUGACGCUGAGGCUCGAAAGUGUGGGUAUCAAACAGGAUUAGAGACCCUUGUAGUC
rnacentral:rRNA from 1 species